UACGAAGGGGACUAGCGUUGCUCGGAAUUACUGGGCGUAAAGGGAGCGUAGGCGGACAUUUAAGUCAGGGGUGAAAUCCCGGGGCUCAACCUCGGAAUUGCCUUUGAUACUGGGUGUCUUGAGUGUGAGAGAGGUAUGUGGAACUCCGAGUGUAGAGGUGAAAUUCGUAGAUAUUCGGAAGAACACCAGUGGCGAAGGCGACAUACUGGCUCAUUACUGACGCUGAGGCGCGAAAGCGUGGGGAGCAAACAGG
rnacentral:rRNA from 1 species